UGUGCGAAAUACAUGUGCUGUUGGAAGUCACGCUCACCGACGGUUUAAUUGUGGACUUUUUUCAAUUCGUUUCGUUCGGUGUGUUGUGAAAAUGCAUGAUGUUAAGAGUGCACAAAUGGAAAUAUAAAUAUUAAAUAAGUGAAAGGUGUUUUAACGCAAAAAGUAUCAACGAAAACCGAAAAAUUUAAACCUCUCGACAAUUAGUAUCUAUUAAAAGCGCUUUGAUGAGUGUUCCCAAAUGCUUGGAUUAUAACCAGCAGCAAUUAAAUUGUAAACGAAAUGUGUGUUUAAGUGUGUGUGUGUGACUUUUAAUAAAAAGUCGAAGUUUUUAUAACAAAUGUGAAAUGAAAAUAGAAUAUAAAGCCUGUGUGUAUAUGCUUAUACAUACAUAAAAAAUGAAGUAAACAAGUAUUGGUUGCUGUUUGUGAAAACAAUAAAUUGGAAAUAAUCAGAAAUACACAAGUUAAAUACCUCUUCAGCCUAACUUAUUUGUUUUGUGAUCUGAAUCAAAAAUGUAAGAGAAUUGCAAUAAUCCCUUUCCCAAGUUCACUACUCCUUCACCUCUGCCAUACUGCUAAGUGCAACAGCAACAACAACAAAACUAAUAGCAAUCGACGUUCACGGUUCGAUAAAUUAAAAGAAACGUGAAACCAAGACGUAAAUGGAGGAAUCCGAGCGACGUUUGGAAAAAUCAAAUCCAGUGCUUUUCCACAACAACAAAAACUACACGACAUAUAGUUGCUGCAUAGUGCCAUCUAAAUUGGAUUUAUGUGUUAUAAGCGGUGUCUGGCUGUUGCUCAGCCUCAUUGGCCGCUGCUAUUGUUCAGGUGGCCCACUGCAGGCGACACGCUGAACCACACAACCUUCGUCAUCUGGUUCGAUAGUGAGUGAAGGCCGCACGAAAGUUCUACAGUGUCAUGCCUUAAAUCAUGGCACUUUAGUGAAAGGAAAAGGCUAAAGGAUACUGUACUAUCCUAAGGAAAAUAUUGUGUCAUGUUGUGUCCAAAAGAGCAGAAAUAUAUUUUUGGAUCUGCGUUUGACAACACAGCAAUGCUCAGCGAGUAAGUUGCUAAAAU